GAAAAGAAAUCAACCGAGAUUCCCCUAGUAGCGGCGAGCGAACGGGGAGCAGCCCUUAAGCUGUUUAGAAUUUAGUGGAAUCCUUUGGGAAGAGGAGCGAUACAAGGUGAUAGCCCUGUACACGACGGAUUCUUUACAGUGAAAUCGAGUAGGUCGGGACACGUGUUAUCUUGACUGAAUAUGGGGGGACCAUCCUCCAAGGCU
rnacentral:rRNA from 2 species